GACGAACGCUGGCGGCGUGCCUAAUACAUGCAAGUAGAACGCUGAAACUUGGUGCUUGCACCGAGCGGAUGAGUUGCGAACGGGUGAGUAACGCGUAGGUAACCUGCCUGGUAGCGGGGGAUAACUAUUGGAAACGAUAGCUAAUACCGCAUAAGAGUAGAUGUUGCAUGACAUUUGCUUAAAAGGUGCAAUUGCACCACUACCAGAUGGACCUGCGUUGUAUUAGCUAGUUGGUGGGGUAACGGCUCACCAAGGCGACGAUACAUAGCCGACCUGAGAGGGUGAUCGGCCACACUGGGACUGGGACACGGCCCAGACUCCUACGGGAGGCAGCAGUAGGGAAUCUUCGGCAAUGGACGGAAGUCUGACCGAGCAACGCCGCGUGAGUGAAGAAGGGUUUCGGAUCGUAAAGCUCUGUUGUAAGAGAAGAACGAGUGUGAGAGUGGAAAGUUCACACUGUGACGGUAUCUUACCAGAAAGGGACGGCUAACUACGUG
rnacentral:rRNA from 1 species